UUAGGUAUCAGUUAAUAGUAAUAUAGCUUUGUCAGGGCUAAGAUUAAAUACUUAAU
rnacentral:tRNA from 1 species